rnacentral:rRNA from 1 species
UAGUCCACGCCGUAAACGAUGAGUGCUAGAUGUCGGGUGUCAAAGCUCGGUAUCGCCGUUAACACAUUAAGCACUCCGCCUGGGGAGUACGUACGCAAGUAUGAAACUCAAAGGAAUUGACGGGGACCCGCACAAGUAGCGGAGCAUGUGGUUUAAUUCGAGGCAACGCGAAGAACCUUACCAGGGCUUGACAUAUCUUUGACCGGUUUAGAGAUAAACCUUCUUCCUCGGAAGCGGAGAU